rnacentral:lncRNA from 1 species
GCUGCGGCCCCGCCCACGUCAUGGCGCCUGAGGAGAACGCGGGUACCAAACUCUUGCUGCAGAGUUUCGAGCGCCGCUUCCUAGCGGCGCGCACACUGCGCUCCUUCCCCUGGCAGGUGGGCGGCGGGGCGAGCGGAGAGGCCUGCGGGGCUUGCGGAAGUCCAGGGGCAGACGGGAUGGGUCUCCCUGCUGAAACCCCCGGCGCUCCUGCCACGUGCACCCUGCGACAUCUGAAGGUCAGGCUUUCAGCCGCUGUGGCUUCCACUUCCAACUGGCUCCGCGUCCCCAGGGAGGGAUCACAUAGCGCUUUGCCAACACAUUCUAUUGCGUGUUUUAAUGUUCCUGUGAAUGCGCCCUUGAGAUUUCUCUCUCUCCCGUCCACACGGAGCUUAGAAGCAAAAUUAAGAGACUCAUCAGAUUCUGAGCUGCUGCGGGAUAUUUUGCAGAAGCACGAGGCUGUCCACACGGAGCUUUUGGACGAGCUGUACGAGGCGCUGGCAGAGACCCUGAUGGCCAAGGAGUCCACCCAGGGCCACUGGAGCUAUUUGCUGCCCUCGGAAGGCUCGGUCACACUCUCCGAGCACAGCCAUCAUCUCCCACGGUACCACAGGCCUGGUCACAUGGGACGCUGCCCGCUACCUUGCAGAAUGGGCCAUCAAGAACCUGGCAGCCUUCACUAACAGGUGACCUCGGGGCACAGGGCAGCCGCCAUCUACCUUGCAGAAUGGGUCAUUGAGAACCUGGCAGCCUUCACUAACAGGACUGUCCUAGAGCUUGGCAGUGGCGCCGGCCUUACAGGCCUGUCCAUCUGCAAGAUGUGCCACCCCCGGACAUACAUCUUCAGCGACUGUCACAGCCGGGUCCUCGAGCAGCUCCGAGGGAAUGUCCUUCUCAAUGGCCUCUCAUUAGAGGCAGACAUCACUGCCAACUUAGAUAGCCCCAGGGUGACAGUGGCCCAGCUGGACUGGGAUGUAGCGACGGUCCAUCAGCUCUCUGCCUUCCAGCCAGAUGUUGUCAUUACAGCAGACGUGCUGUAUUGCCCAGAAGCCAUCGUGUCCCUGGUCGGGGUCCUGCGGAGGCUGGCUGCCUGCUGGGAGCACCAGCGGGCUCCUGAGGUCUACAUGGCCUUUACCGUCCGCAACCCAGAGACGUGCCAGGUGUUCACCACCGAGCUAGGCUGGGCUGGGAUCAGAUGGGAAGCGGAAGCUCAUCAUGACCAGAAACUGUUUCCCUAUGGAGAGCACUUGGAGAUGGCAAUGCUGAACCUCACACUGUAGGACUCAUACACGACUCCAACGGGAUUGUUAGAAUCAAAUCACUCUCGUGGGAAGAAUUUUUAUAUGGGAAAGCGGAUAAAACUUUCAUUGGACUGGAAUGUUUGGAGAAUGUUAAAUUCCAAAUCAGGAACCACAAUCUGCCCUCUAAUAAGACAUCGGCUAUCUAAGCAUGUGGGUGCCCCCUUUCUGCCAGCAGUUCUGGUUCUUAAGAAAAUCACCAUAAAUCAGACAUGAAAAUUCUGGCUCCAAAAAUAGCAUUUUCUUUGUGCAAAUAAAAACGUGUGUAUCAAGUA